GCCACUCCUAGCUAUGUAACCAAAUGAAAAGUACACAUGUGCUCCGAGAGACACACACGGGAAUAUUCAGAACCUUUUCUGUAAUAGCUAUAAACUGAAAGCAGCACAUGUCCAACAGGAAAAUGAAUAAACAAAUACAGCAUAUUCAUACAAUAGAAUCCUAUACAGAGCAACUAAAAUAACAGCUAGAGGCAACAACACGGAUGGAUCUUACAAGCCUGAUGUGGAACAAGAGAAGCCUGUCCAGAGACUAAGUGAAUGGAUUUAUGUGGUAUGCAAAAACAGGCAAAACCAAAUCAUAGUGUUUUGGGAGGUAUGCUUACAUAGUAAAGCUCUGAAGGAAAACAAAGAAAAGGCGACUAAAGAGAAUGACAACUUACACAAUGCAGAAUCCUGGAUUGGAUCCUAGAUCCAAUCAACGUGUAGGGAUGCUGAUCCCACUCCAAGUCUAGAACAUCAUUCACAUCUUGGACAGCAAAUUUCACAUACUGAUGAAGGCGCCGAAUUUCCUAUAAGAAAAAAAUUAAAAGUGUAUCAUGCGUAUAAUCCCAGCACUUUGGGAGGCUGAAGCAGAAGAAUCACAUGAGCCCAGGUGUUUGAGACCAGCCUGAGCAACACAUCAUUCUGCAAAAUCUACAAGUGGAUAGCGCACCACCACUACCUGGGCCCACUGUGUCCCUGCAAGAAAGACAACGUGAAAGAAGGUUCUUGUAUGCAAAGGUGCUUUGCUCCUUCUGACAGUUUUUCAAAGUCAAACAGAAAGUACUUCUGGUGAAUCACAAUUUAGUGUCAUCUGCAUGUUUUUCUUUCAUAACUGAGGAUGGAUUAUCAUUAAAUUGUAUAGAAGUUGUUUCAAGCAACAGGAAUAAAACAAAGA
rnacentral:lncRNA from 1 species